GAUGAACGCUGGCGGUAUGCCUAACACAUGCAAGUCGUACGAGAGUUUUUAACUCUAGUGGCGGACGGGUGAGUAACACGUGAGAAUUUGCCUUUAGGAGGGGGACAACAAUCGGAAACGAAUGCUAAUACCCCAUAAGCGCACAGCUUCGCAUGAAGCAGUGUGAAAAACUCCGGUGGUACAAGAUGGACCCGCGUCUGAUUAGCUGGUUGGUGAGGUAACGGCCCACCAAGGCGACGAUCAGUAGCCGGCCUGAGAGGGUGAACGGCCACAUUGGGACUGAGACACGGCCCAAACUCCUACGGGAGGCAGCAGUGGGGAAUAUUGCACAAUGGGGGAAACCCUGAUGCAGCAACGCCGCGUGAGUGAAGAAGUAUUUCGGUAUGUAAAGCUCUAUCAGCAGGAAGAAAAUG
rnacentral:rRNA from 1 species